UGACCUGACAAGAAACAUAACAGUCAGAGACCAGAACAUUCCAGGUACCAUCCAGCACCUGCUCACUGGAGUCUCAGCCUUGAUGAUUGUCCCUCACUGACCCUGAUGUCCAUUCUCCCUCCCCCGCCCAGGCCCUUGUCCCUAGCCUCAGAGAUGCUGUUCCCAUCUACCAGGAAUUACUAAACCCUGACGUGGACAGCUACUGCUGGGUCCAUAGCCAAGCUCAUGUGGAUUCUUAGUUCCCACCAGACAAUGCUGCAUAUGGGCUGAGGGAGGGUCCCACUAGAACCCCAGACCCUCUAUGGUGGCGCCUGAGCCCUGGGAGACUCUGGCACCUGGAGGAGGUGGGGUUCCCUGGGUUUCUGGAGACCCAGACAGGCUGCCCUGGGCUCUGAAUGGCCAGAACUAGGCUGCCCGUGCCCAGGAGCAGGGGCUCCAGGGAGAGGGAAGGGCCCCUAUAGGUCACCUGGAAAGGCGCUGAAUAAAGACCCCCUUCCCUCCUUUGCUCUUUUGGUUCAUAUGGGAACGUCUCUUGGCAGACACUCUCCUCAAGUUCCAGGUCAGCUCUCUCCUGUGUCACGCAGGGGAAUCAUGGUCUCUAAGUUGCUCCCACAGGGUUCCUCUUCCUGGGAGACAGGAGCUGGGAGGUGGGAGCCAGGGCAAAGGUCAGAUCUGUCCACAGGGAAGGGUGAAGGUCCCAAGGCCCUGCAGCCAGCAGAGCACUCAGUGGCCCUCACACUCCAGGGACCCAUGGUGGCUGACUGUGGCCACUGAUUUCUUUCCUACUCAAAGGCCAGUACUCAGGACAUCUUCGCUUCUUCUGGGACAUGGGACUGUCAGAGUAAUCAGGGGACAGGGCCAGACCCAAACUCAGGCCCUGAACAAGGGCCUCAGGCAUUGCCCGAGGCUCCAGCCCUGCCCUCCCAUCACCUUCCCUGCCUGGUGUCUCCUCUGCACACUCCAGCACCCAGGGCAGAGGCUCAGGGCUCCCCACAUGGGGCUCUCCAGAUUCCAUGGUGAUGGGACAAAGGGUCUCCUCCCUGACCUGGGGCCCAGAAUGUCCACUGCAGUCUCUUCCACAUACUUGGACCACUGCUCUGACUCCUUCCCUGAAGACUGGGAAGCGUGACGUUUUCCUGUAGGUUCACUUGGAUCAGGCCAUCACUUUUCUGGAUAUUAAGAGGUCAAUGUACUAAAGCUCAGGGACACUCUCCUAAUGCCAAGAACUGUCUGUGCUGAGAUGAGAAGUAGGAAGAGACCCUCGGAGUGUCCAGCCUGACUCAUCUCUAGUGAGGCUCCUCUGCAUGAACACAGCAUCACGUCACACACGGUGACUGCUCUCGCCUUGGUGUCCUGGUGCUCUUGGUACAGACUAACUCCCACACAGUGGCUCCGAACAGCAGAUACCAAGGUGUCCAUUAGCAGCAUUCUUCUGUUGGCUCCACGGGAAUCAGUUUCCUCACCUUUUCCAGCUUCUAGCUUCCCUGGCCUGUGGGCCCGACUCCAUCUUUGAAGAAAGCAAGUGGCCCCUGAAGGCUGUCUGCUCUGCUUCUGCCCCACACCUCUGGCUUCUUCUGUCUGUCCUGC